rnacentral:misc_RNA from 1 species
GUAGGUGAACCUGCGGAGGGAUCAUUACCGAGUGAGGGCUUCCGGCCCGACCUCCCAACCCUUUGUUGACCAACACCUGUUGCCUCGGGGGUGACCCGGCCUCCGCGCCGGGGUCCCCGGUGGACCAUUUCAUCUCUGUGUCUGUACGUCGGAGUGACUAGCAAAUCAAUCAAAACUUUCAACAACGGAUCUCUUGGUUCUG